GACGAACGCUGGCGGCGUGCUUAACACAUGCAAGUCGAACGGAAAGGCCCUGCUUUUGUGGGGUGCUCGAGUGGCGAACGGGUGAGUAACACGUGAGUAACCUGCCCUUGACUUUGGGAUAACUUCAGGAAGCUGGGGCUAAUACCGGAUAGGAGCUCCUGCUGCAUGGUGGGGGUUGGAAAGUUUCGGCGGUUGGGGAUGGACUCGCGGCUUAUCAGCUUGUUGGUGGGGUAGUGGCUUACCAAGGCUUUGACGGGUAGCCGGCCUGAGAGGGUGACCGGCCACAUUGGGACUGAGAUACGGCCCAGACUCCUACGGGAGGCAGCAGUGGGGAAUAUUGCACAAUGGGCGGAAGCCUGAUGCAGCAACGCCGCGUGCGGGAUGACGGCCUUCGGGUUGUAAACCUCUUUCGCCUGUGACGAAGCGUGAGUGACGGUAAUGGGUAAAGAAGCACCGGCUAACUACGUG
rnacentral:rRNA from 1 species